GGAAUUGUUCGCAAUGGGCGCAAGCCUGACGACGCAACGCCGCGUGGAGGAUGAAGGUCUUCGGAUUGUAAACUCCUGUCGCCCGGGACGAAUGGCUCCGACCUAACACGUCGGAGAUUGACGGUACCGGGCGAGGAAGCCCCGGCUAACUCUGUGCGAGCAGCCGCGGUAAUACAGAGGGGGCAAGCGUUGUUCGGAAUUACUGGGCGUAAAGGGCGCGUAGGUGGCCCGCUAAGUCGAACGUGAAAUCCCCGGGCUCAACCCGGGAACUGCGUCCGAUACUGGUGGGCUUGAAUCCGGGAGAGGGAUGCGGAAUUCCAGGUGUAGCGGUGAAAUGCGUAGAUAUCUGGAGGAACACCGGUGGCGAAGGCGGCAUCCUGGACCGGUAUUGACACUGAGGCGCGAAAGCCAGGGGAGCAAAC
rnacentral:rRNA from 1 species